rnacentral:rRNA from 1 species
UAUUGGUCAAUGGGCGGAAGCCUGAACCAGCCAAGUCGCGUGAGGGAAUAAGGCCCUACGGGUCGUAAACCUCUUUUGCCGGGGAGCAAGGGCGGGGACGUGUCCCGGCCCGGAGAGUACCCGGAGAAAAAGCAGCGGCUAACUCCGUUCCAGCCGCCGCGGUAAUACGGAGGGUGCGAGCGUUAAUCGGAAUUACUGGGCGUAAAGCGCUCGUAGGCGGUAUGUCAAGUCAAGGGUGAAAUCCCCGCGCUCAACGUGGGGACUGCCUUUGAAACUGGCAAACUGGAGUGUGUGAGAGGAUAGUGGAAUUCCAGGUGUAGGAGUGAAAUCCGUAGAUAUCUGGAGGAACAUCAGUGGCGAAGGCGACUAUCUGGCACAUAACUGACGCUGAGGAGCGAAAGCGUGGGUAGCAAACAGG